rnacentral:lncRNA from 11 species
GGUGGGAGUUGAAGUCCAAAUCCCCUGGAGGAAAGGCCUAAGCUUGCCCAGGCCAGUUAUAUCCUGCUGGGGAGAAAGAGGCGGGAAAUCCCUCCUUCCCCAGUUUCUGCCCUCAGGAGCGGCGGGCCCAAAGUGCGCCUUUGCGUCGCCAUGGCAACCCCUGAGGCGACGAGGGCAUGGCGGCCGAGGAGAAAGAAGCCACCGCCGCGGAAUCUGCAAUAGCAGAAAUUCAAAAGAAAAUCACAGAUGCUUUUGAAGUUUUUGACCAUGAGUGCAACAAAACUGUGGAUGUCAGGUUUGGAAGAGCUUUCUAAAUAUCACCAUGGCUUAGGCUAAUAGUGGAGAGCCUUCUUCAACCUAAAGGUAGAAGAAGAAGAACCAACCGGAUUCAUUCGUUUGGAAAAAUUUCUUCCUAUGAUGACCAGAAUAUUAAUGGAAAGAAGGUAAUAGGGAAAAGGAGGUUUCAAUUUAUAUAAUUCAGUCAUAUAUUUAUUACUGAUAUUAAUAAUGAUUCUUUUAUAGCUACAAAGAUAAAACCA